rnacentral:rRNA from 1 species
GAGCAACCUCUCAGUAUCAGAUCUUGCAGACUUCCACUGCGUGUCCCUCUGUACAGCUUUGCAGGCUCCGGCCUCGGCAGGGGGGGGUUCAUAGUUGUUGUCGACUUCCAAGAAACUGCACUCUCCGGCGUGACAGCGUACUGGGGAUGCCUGUGUAGAUGCAGUCCGGGCUUGCCUGGACCGCUAGCAGAUGGGCUCUGUGGAUGACUGGCCGCUGGCUAGACCUGAAACCUGAGCAACGGGAGGUAACCUCUCGCCGCGGACACCGGAAUGGUAGAAGCGGCGUGUUGCGUCUUCUUCUUGGGGCCCUUAAGCCACACCUCCCAUAGCGGGUUCGGUGCGGCGGACGGACGCCCUGGGGAAUUUAGAGGGGGAAAGCGGAUUGCCCUAGCGGUGUUGUUGGCCCUGCCGACCUCACUGCGAAAGGCGCGAUUUCACCGUCGCCACCCAGUAACUUGUCUUUCCGGCGCUUCACGGCGCUGGUGGCCAACCCCGGCACACGAUAGUUACCUGGUUGAUUCUGCCAGUAGUCAUAUGCUUGUCUCAAAGAUUAAGCCAUGCAUGUCUAAGUAUAAGCAAUUAUACCGCGAAACUGGGAAUGGCUCAUUAUAUAAGUUAUGUUUUAUUUGAUAGUACAUUAGUACUUGGAUAACAAAGCCAAUUCU